AUGUUAUUCUUUCUACGUUGUAACCUUUGCAAGUAUAGCAUUUGAAGUUUAGUUGCCAGUGAUGUGUGUCUCAAUUCUUCUUGAAGUAGAUGAGAUUCACUUCCUUCCUUUAAAUAUGAGGAAGCCAAGGCAAGGAGAAGAAAAGUGAAUUAACUAAGGAGAGAAAGCUAAGAGCAAAGUUCCUUGCUGAGUUUAGGAUAAAGAGACAGACGAGGAGGAACCCAAUUACUAGGGGACACCAUUAGGAUGAAAGAGCAGAAGUAUGGAAAUGGGAAUGGGGAACUGUAUCCACCCAUAGAAUUGUCAACAGGUAUGCACGUAGCAUCUGCGAUUCCGGGAGAGCUGACAGGCUAGGAGCCAGCUGUAGCUUACACUUGAAAAUAAUAAUAAUAUCCACUUAGGGGUAUGGAAUUAUUUAUCACCACUGGUGGAAUUUUUGCCAAAGGCAAGAAAUGAAAACAUCCGAUGAAAAAUGUCCUCAGUCCACAGCCCAUUACACUGACACACCGUACAAACUGAUUAACUCUCUGGCCAAGAAUAAACAGUACUAUAGUUACUACUA
rnacentral:lncRNA from 10 species